UUAAGCCAGCGUAUUUAAUUUAUUCAUGUUUCAGAAUUGGACUUUUUUUUACAUUAAAAGACCUCGGAAGGUGCAAACUGUUUGGGCAUUUCUUGAUUUCUUCACCAUUCUCUUCAACCUGAACAAGUUUACGGCCUUUGAAGAUGGGUUAAGAGCCAUCUUUGAUAGAAUGGGAUCGAAGGGACAAAUACUUCCAUCCAGUUUGCCAGUUUUGAUUCUCGAUGACUGAUUUUGAGCUGCAGUUACAUAUUCAUGACGUGGAUCAGGCCUAGUAUUGCUGUUGCAGGCUUGCAGCUAUCUGUUUAUAUUUUCAAUAAGGUCAUCGAGAAGACCAUUUACCUGCGAAUUUUGUUACUAUAUUUGUUUGUAGUCGCAAUGAAGGAUGAGUUAUUAUACAUGUUUCAAAUA